GCGCGGGUGGUGUAGUGGUAACAUUGACGUUAAUACUGAAAAGUAAACAGUGGCGUAAACGAUCACGUUUUAUCAGUCUGUAAUAUUCAGCAAUUAAAGUCCUUGCUUCGAUUCCGAGCUUGCGCU